GCGGGGCACGGUGGAUCACACCUGUAAUCCCAGCACUUUGGGAGGCCGAGGCGGGUGGAUCACGAGGUCAGGAGAUCGAGACCAUCCUGGCUAACACAGUGAAACCCCGUCUCCACUAAAAAUAUAAAAACAUUAGCNGCUAAUGUUUUUAUAUUUUUAGUGGAGACGGGGUUUCACUGUGUUAGCCAGGAUGGUCUCGAUCUCCUGACCUCGUGAUCCGCCCGUCUCAG
rnacentral:SRP_RNA from 1 species